rnacentral:rRNA from 1 species
GUAGGUGGCAAGCGUUGUCCGGAAUUAUUGGGCGUAAAGCGCGCGCAGGCGGUUCUUUAAGUCUGAUGUGAAAGCCCACGGCUCAACCGUGGAGGGUCAUUGGAAACUGGAGAACUUGAGUACAGAAGAGGAAAGCGGAAUUCCACGUGUAGCGGUGAAAUGCGUAGAGAUGUGGAGGAACACCAGUGGCGAAGGCGGCUUUCUGGUCUGUAACUGACGCUGAGGCGCGAAAGCGUGGGGAGCAAACAGGGAUUAGAUACCCUGGUAGUCCACGCCGUAAACGAUGAGUGCUAAGUGUUGGGGGGGUUUCCGCCCCCUUAGUGCUGCAGCUAACGCAUUAAGCACUCCGCCUGGGGAGUACGGCCGCAAGGCUG